rnacentral:lncRNA from 1 species
UAUUUUAUUAUUAUAAUAGGUAAGUUUAGUAGUUUUACGCUAUGUUACGCUCCAAAAUGCUGACACAUCCGUGUCGGAUCCUCCAAAAAUACAUUACUUUUGGAGGAUCCGACAUGAACUCGACAACAUUUUCGAAGAGUCCGAGCAACAUAGGUUUUACGUUAAUAAUGGUAAAGUUCAGUGGAAAAAACAAUUUUUUGACUUUACUAUUAUGGUGGAUAUAAUUUAGUGAUCAUACGUGAAAUUAAUCCAAACAAGAACAGAUGAAUUCAAAGCCUGAGAAUCUUUUUCGGGAUCUCAUGAGCUUACCUCCAAGAAUUUG